GUAUUCCAGCAAACACAAGCGAGAUUAUCUAUGGUCCCUACUUGACUGUUCAAUUAUAAAUCAUUAUUAUAUU